rnacentral:rRNA from 1 species
UACGUAGGGUGCAAGCGUUGUCCGGAAUUAUUGGGCGUAAAGAGCUCGUAGGCGGUUUGUCGCGUCUGCUGUGAAAACGCGAGGCUCAACCUCGCGCCUGCAGUGGGUACGGGCAGACUAGAGUGCGGUAGGGGAGAUUGGAAUUCCUGGUGUAGCGGUGGAAUGCGCAGAUAUCAGGAGGAACACCGGUGGCGAAGGCGGAUCUCUGGGCCGUAACUGACGCUGAGGAGCGAAAGCAUGGGUAGCGAACAGG